rnacentral:rRNA from 1 species
GACGAACGCUGGCGGCGUGCUUAACACAUGCAAGUCGAGCGGAAAGGCCCCUUCGGGGGUACUCGAGCGGCGGACGGGUGAGUAACACGUGGGCAACCUGCCUGUAAGACUGGGAUAACACCGGGAAACCGGUGCUAAUACCGGAUAAUCCUUCUCUUCUCAUGAAGAGAAGCUGAAAGACGGUUUCGGCUGUCACUUACAGAUGGGCCCGCGGCGCAUUAGCUAGUUGGUGAGGUAACGGCUCACCAAGGCAACGAUGCGUAGCCGACCUGGGAGGGUGAUCGGCCAGACUGGGACUGAGACACGGCCCGGACUCCUACGGGAGGCAGCAGUAGGGAAUCUUCCGCAAUGGGCGAAAGUCUGACGGAGCAACGCCGCGGGAGCGAUGAAGGCCUUCGGGUCGUAAAGCUCUGUUGUCAGGGAAGAACAAGUACCGGAGUAACUGCCGGUACCUUGACGGUACCUGACCGGAAAGCCACGGCUAACUACGUGCCAGCCGCCGCCGUAA